rnacentral:rRNA from 1 species
AGUGAACGCUGGCGGCGUGCUUAACACAUGCAAGUCGAACGAGAACGGAUUAUAGCUUGCUAUAAUUGUCAGCUAAGUGGCGCACGGGUGAGUAAUGUAUAGGUAAUAUGCCUCUUACUAAGGGAUAACAAAUGGAAACGUUUGCUAAUACCUUAUACUCCUUAUUAACAGAAGUUAAUAAGGGAAAGAUUUAUUGGUAAGAGAUUAGCCUGUAUUGUAUCAGUUAGUUGGUGGGGUAAUGGCUUACCAAGACUAUGACACAUAACUGGUUUGAGAGGAUGAUCAGUCACACUGGAACUGAGACACGGUCCAGACUCCUACGGGAGGCAGCAGUGGGGAAUAUCGCACAAUGGACGAAAGUCUGAUGCAGCAACGCCGCGUGGAGGAUGACACAUUUCGGUGCGUAAACUCCUUUUACAUGAGAAGAUAAUGACGGUAUUAUAUGAAUAAGCACCGGCUAACUCCGUGCCAGCCGCCGCGGUAA